ACUGCUGCCCAUGACUCACUGAAGCUAAGCAGGGCAGAGCCUGGUCAGUACUUGGAUGAGAGACCACAUUGGAAAACCAGGUUGAUGGUGGAA
rnacentral:rRNA from 1 species